rnacentral:misc_RNA from 1 species
ACCUUGCAUCCAAACAACAAAACGAAAACAAGGAGGAAAAGUUAUCUGUUCUAAAGAUGGAAAAAACAGUGCUCUAUUUCACACUCUUUCUCUUUCUCAGUAUCAUUUACGAAACCGGGGCAAUAAAAUGCUACCAGUGCUCGACCGAUGAGGAUCCAAAAGGAAGAGAUCUGUGUGGCGCAUAUGAAUACUUUGACGAGGAAGCCCACAUCCCUGUUGACUGCUUCCAGGAGGAAUCUGUGACCCCAGGGACGUUCUGCGUCAAGAUCACCAAGCAGUCUCCACGCAUGUUUAUCUGGGAUGGCCGCUGGCGCACUGUUAUCCGCCGCUGUUCCUCAGUCACAGAGACUGGAGUGACAAACGUAUGCAACUGGGGUGUGGACCUGAAUGGUGUCUAUUGGGAGGAAUGUUAUUGCACCUCUGACGGGUGCAAUGGCUCAUCCGCAUUGACAGUCAGCUUUUCUCUCAUUGCUGCUGCUCUGGUAGCUUCCGUUUGGAUGAGGUUAUAAGGAAAGAAGCAGGAAGGGUUUAUGUGAUAGGAGUUGAUACUGAGUGUGUGAUCUUAGAAUACUUGCCUGUAUCUUACCUUAUUGUUGAUGUCCGUCUGGAGUUGUCACUGUGAGCCAGUCCAUCCUUAAUUCCAGUUUAGAGCUCAGAUAUUGGAUUCAGCCAGGUGGACCAUUGUUGGUGUAAGGGUGGACAUCCAGUUCGGCAAAGAUGGCAGUACCAAAACCAAAGUUCCAAAAGGGUUUUCCACUAUGUUUGAUUUUUGGCAGAAAGUAGGAUAAGUUUAAGAAUUGAGGUCAGUUCUUUUAGGUCUUAUAUAAAAUGUAUUUCCCUUUUCUGCAAAUUCUGUUUUAUUUUCAUAAAAUACUUUUCUGUCUGUUUUACAUUCUCCUGGAUUGUUCAUUAUGUUGAAAGAAGAGGUAACAAAAAUUUAAAGGUUAAAAAGCUAAAAAUGAUUUCUAGGUAUUAUUUGAAAAUUAUUUUAUACCUAAGUGUAUUUUAUAUUGAACAGUCUAUUAAAUUAUGUAUGUUUA